AUUGAACGCUGGAGGCGUGCUUAACACAUGCAAGUCGUGCGAGAAAGGGACUUCGGUCCUGAGUAGAGCGGCGCACGGGUGAGUAACGCGUGGGUAAUCUCCCUUGGUGAUCGGGAUAACAGCGGGAAACUGCUGCUAAUACCGGAUAAUCUUCAUGUUUAACUUCAUGGGGUAAAGGUGGCCUCUGCUUGCAAGCUACCACACCGAGCUGAGCCCGCGUCUCAUUAGCUAGUUGGUAGGGUAAUGGCCUACCAAGGCUACGAUGAGUAGCUGGUAUGAGAGGAUGACCAGCCACACUGGGACUGGAACACGGCCCAGACUCCUACGGGAGGCAGCAGUGGGGAAUAUUGCGCAAUGGGCGAAAGCCUGACGCAGCGACGCCUCGUGAGGGAUGAAGGUCUUCGGAUCGUAAACCUCUGUCAAGAGGGAAGAAACCCUUGGAUUCGAAUAGGGUCCUUGGCUGACGGUACCUCAAAAGGAAGCACCGGCUAACUCCGUGCCAGCAGCCGCCGUAA
rnacentral:rRNA from 1 species